CAGCCGCCGCGGUAAAACCAGCACCUCAAGUGGUCAGGAUGAUUAUUGGGCCUAAAGCAUCCGUAGCCGGCUCUGUAAGUUUUCGGUUAAAUCUGUACGCUCAACGUACAGGCCGCCGGGAAUACUGCAGAGCUAGGGAGUGGGAGAGGUAGACGGUACUCGGUAGGAAGGGGUAAAAUCCUUUGAUCUAUUGAUGACCACCUGUGGCGAAGGCGGUCUACCAGAACACGUCCGACGGUGAGGGAUGAAAGCUGGGGGAACAAACCGGAUUAGAUACCCGGGUACUCCCAGCUGUAAACUAUGCAAACUCAGUGAUGCAUUGGCUUGUGGCCAAUGCAGUGCUGCAGGGAAGCCGUUAAGUUUGCCGCCUGGGAAGUACGUACGCAAGUAUGAAACUUAAAGGAAUUGGCGGGGGAGCAC
rnacentral:rRNA from 2 species